rnacentral:rRNA from 1 species
AUUGAACGCUGGCGGCAUGCUUUACACAUGCAAGUCGAACGGUAACAGGUUAAGCUGACGAGUGGCGAACGGGUGAGUAAUGCAUCGGAACGUGCCCGAUCGUGGGGGAUAACGCAGCGAAAGCUGCGCUAAUACCGCAUACGAUCUGAGGAUGAAAGCGGGGGACCGUAAGGCCUCGCGCGAUCGGAGCGGCCGAUGUCAGAUUAGGUAGUUGGUGGGGUAAAGGCUCACCAAGCCAACGAUCUGUAGCUGGUCUGAGAGGACGACGAGCACAACUGGGACUGAGACACGGCCCAGACUCCUACGGGAGGCAGCAGUGGGGAAUUUUGGACAAUGGGCGAAAGCCUGAUCCAGCAAUGCCGCGUGCAGGAAGAAGGCCUUCGGGUUGUAAACUGCUUUUGUACGGAGCGAAAAGGCCCUCUCUAAUACAGUGGGCUCAUGACGGUACCGUAAGAAUAAGCACCGGCUAACUACGUGCCAGCCGCCGCAGUAA